GAUUUGACAAUCACAAACUUUGUGGUGAUGGAUUUAUCAAAUUCCAAACCACCACCACCAACUGUUCCCGCCGCUAAUUCGCAGACAUUUCCUCACGAGGAUGACAGCGUUGUAUUUGUAAAAGUUAUCAUUCCUGAGCCACUAGAAAUAAUUGAUCUUACAGAAGAAGAUCCUUGAAUUAUUGUUAGAUUGGUCAGAAAAAGGUUUGAAAACAAUAUUUGCUAGAGUUUGAAACUAAACUUUAAAUUGAACGUGCAAAAGGCCCACCAGCAAAAUCUCGUUAAACGACACUUUUCCUGCAAUUGAUACAAAGCACAGCAAGUGUCCAACUUUGAAACGAGUCACAAUUCUAAAGCUCAAAUGAUCCGGAAAAUCGAAAAAAGAACCGUGCUCCUCUUGAAGCGCCUCAAGAAGCUGGCGAUUCAAAAUUCCAAAAACGAAGCAAAUUCCCUGUAAAAAGUGUCACCUCUGCCUCAGUUACAACAAAUUGAUCCCGGGCAGGACCAAAAAAAACGAACCCCAGCCAUAAUCAUCAUCAUCUGCAGCACGAUUGCAUCGCCCGGCGGUCCCUGGGUGGGACAAAUGGACGGACUUUUUGCCCGGUCCAAAGUGGAUCUGCGGAGGUUUACGUUUCCUUUUCCCCCAAGGGGGUUGGAGGUAAGGUGUGACCAGAGAGAGAGAGACUUGAAUAUGCAAAAAGCCGGCAAAUUGCAGCUGCACCUUGGCCCAAAAGAGGAUGCUGCCUGCAGUCCGGGUGGAGUCGGAGUUGGUGACUAUUUCUCAUCUCCUUCAAGUGGCGGAACGUGGAGGAUUCGGUUUUCAAUUUCUGGGAGGAAGGGAAGGGGAAAGCGGAUGCCGAGUAAAAAUGUUUAAUAUUAAAAUUUAAGUGCAUAUAAACGAAA